GAUCAUGGCUCAGGAUGAACGCUGGCGGCGUGCCUAACACAUGCAAGUCGAGCGAAGCGCUUUAGUGGAAUUCUACGGAAGGAAAGUGAAGUGACUGAGCGGCGGACGGGUGAAGGUAACGCGUGGGUAACCUGCCUCAUACAGGGGGAUAACAGUUAGAAAUGACUGCUAAUACCGCAUAAGACCCCAGUACCGCAUGGUACAGAGGUAAAAACUGAGGUGGUAUGAGAUGGACCCGCGU
rnacentral:rRNA from 1 species